CGCAGAGGGGCGGGGCGCUUGGCUCCCUGGUUCCGCGCGGAGGCAACUCCUGCCUGACUCGCUUGAGGUCUAAAGACAGUCGGAGUCCUAGCGGCUCCCAGUGCCUGAUUCCCACCCGUUCGGUCCCCCUCAGGUGCUCAUCUGGCUGGAACACACCAGCCCAGGCUGAGCUUUGUGGGGAGAUGGGCUCUCUGGCUUUAGCAACUGGCGCAUCUCAACCCUGUGUCCCCAGCCUAGAGACUAGACUCUGCACUCCCAUUGUGUUAGGUCUCGCACUGGGCAGAGGGCUUCUGACCCCUGCUCUGCUCACAGAUUCCUAGACAGGGAUUCCCACGACUCCUACAUCUCCAACACAAAGAGGCAGAGGUGGUGGCAGUCUAUGCCAAGUAGAAACGCACAGAGAUGGCCAUUUCCUGUCUGCUGGCCAGAGGAGUUGACCCUGCAGCCUUCCCACUGCAUGAACUGGAGAUGACCCAAGCUCAGCUCUCUCCCACUGCCGGGGCAUCAGGAGGGAACCCUGCAGCCCUCCCUCCUUUCGUCUGCCUGGGGCCCUUUGACCCGCCCAGGUUGCUGUGCUCCUGCUGGGCUUGCUGGAGAUGCUGGCACAAGAGUACUCUGGGGAGAAGUUGGGCUACUUCUCUGUCUGGGGACUGUGUUCUUCAGCAUCUUUAUGUCCUUGUGGGCCACGGCCUUCCUGGAGCACCGGAAGUGCAAGAGCAUCACCCUUGUCCACCACUGGGACCGCAGUGACUUCCAGGAAGAGGAGCCAAUAGAACUCUGACCAUCUCUACCUUUUGCCCAGAGAUGCACAGAACCCAGACCUUCCACGAAGACCUUCACUUUCAGAGUCUUCUUCUUUGAGUUUGUCGAUUUUCUACUUUUCCUUCUACAUGGCAUUCUUCCAAGGCAGGGGAGGACCCCCUACCCGACCCGGGGCUGUUGCCUCCCAACAAAGUGGGCCGACAGAGUGGCAUCAUCCUUGAACCUCCAGAUUUGUUUCUACCAAGGUCUUGCCGUUGACCUUGAAAUUGGUCCUCGAUUUCCCUGGGCUUCAAUUUCCUCAACUGUAAUGUGCUAACACAUCACUGGGUCAAUAUGAAACUUCAACACCUGCA